rnacentral:rRNA from 1 species
UACGUAGGGUCCGAGCGUUAAUCGGAAUUACUGGGCGUAAAGCGUGCGCAGGCGGUUUUGUAAGGCAGAUGUGAAAGCCCCGGGCUUAACCUGGGAAUGGCAUUUGGGACUGCAAGGCUGGAGUACGGCAGAGGGAGGUGGAAUUCCAGGUGUAGCAGUGAAAUGCGUAGAUAUCUGGAGGAACACCGAUGGCGAAGGCAGCCUCCUGGGCUAGUACUGACGCUCAAGCACGAAAGCGUGGGGAGCAAACAGG